GGUCCUACGGGGGGCAGCAGUGGGGAAUAUUGCACAAUGGGGGAAACCCUGAUGCAGCGACGCCGCGUGAGUGAAGAAGUAAUUCGUUAUGUAAAGCUCUAUCAGCAGGGAAGAAAAUGACGGUACCUGAGUAAGAAGCCCCGGCUAACUACGUGCCAGCAGCCGCGGUAAUACGUAGGGGGCAAGCGUUAUCCGGAAUUACUGGGUGUAAAGGGAGCGUAGGCGGCAAGGCAAGUCUGAUGUGAAAACCCAGGGCCCAACCCUGGGACUGCAUUAGAAACUGUAUUGCUUGAGUACCGGAGAGG
rnacentral:rRNA from 1 species